AUGUGACGGUUCCUGAUGGCAUACUCCUACGGGAGGCAGCAGCUCAGAAUCUUGCUCAAUGGGCGAAAGCCUGAAGCAGCGACGCCGCGUGAACGAUGAAGGUCUUCGGAUUGUAAAGUUCAGUAAGCAGGGACGAAAUGGAACUGAGACACGGUCC
rnacentral:rRNA from 1 species